rnacentral:rRNA from 1 species
UACGUAGGGGGCGAGCGUUGUCCGGAAUCAUUGGGCGUAAAGCGCGUGUAGGCGGCUCGAAAAGUCUGGUGUGAAAACUGGAGGCUCAACCUCCAGCUGUCACUGGAUACUGUCGGGCUUGAGUCCGGAAGAGGAGAGUGGAAUUCCUGGUGUAGCGGUGGAAUGCGCAGAUAUCAGGAGGAACACCAAUGGCGAAGGCAGCUCUCUGGUACGUGACUGACGCUGAGACGCGAAAGCGUGGGGAGCGAACAGG